UUGGACAAUGGGGGCAACCCUGAUCCAGCCAUGCCGCGUGUGUGAAGAAGGCCUUCGGGUUGUAAAGCUCUUUUAGUUGGGAGGAAAGCCUUUUCAUUAAUACCGAAGAGGCGUGACGUUACCAACAGAAUAAGCACCGGCUAACUCCGUGCCAGCAGCCGCGGUAAUACG
rnacentral:rRNA from 1 species